AGCUUUGUGCAGUAGCAGUAUUGUAGCCAAUGAGGUUUAUCUGAGGUGCGAUUAUUGCUAAUUGAAAACUUUUCCCAGGCUAUUAAGUUCAUGGUCAGGUGGCUCAAAGAAAGAAAUAUAGUGGAAGGGUUUGGCAGAGGAAACU